GCCAGGUGAACAUGGGUUACACAGGGGUUUUCUCCUUAACAAGUGCUUUGUAAUUUGCUUGUGGGAUUAGUACUGUAGUAGCGUUCUUUUUCCCUCAAGGGGGCAUUGUUACGCUAUGGGCAGCGGAAAAGGGAAAUCGCGUGUGAGAGCAUAGUUUUGCCGAGACACCAGAAACAAGGAAGUGGCAGUACCAGGAGGUGACUGACUGCCGUGGUGUGUAUCUUUGUUUAUGUUUCAGAUAAAUAUCCCUAUAAAUUUCGGUAAAAUAUGAAAAUGGUUAUAAGGGUCAGCAGAUGAGAUAACGAUUAAUUUAGAAGACUUAAGGCUGAUUAAUGAUGAUUUUGUAUUCCUGACGAUUUCUGUAGAUCUGUAAAUGAGUUUGUGUGCGUAUCUCCGCCACGCUGAGGGCAACACUGAACAGCGGGGUUAGCGUGAGUAAUGAUAAAGCACAUGUAUAAACAGAAUUAUCUCAUUUCAAUGUAUGCUGACUGAUUAAAUAAGCUAUGUCCAUUUGUAUGUUUUCUGCCUAAUUUAGAGGGGAGAUAUAUGCGUGUUGAAUUCCAGGUGUGUGUCUUGGAACACAGGCUGCACACUGGAGUGAAAGUGAGUUAAUUGUACUACUAAAUUGUUUCUGAAUUGUAAGAAUGUGUAAAUGGAGAGAAUAUUUUGUAUUGAAUGUAUUUUUAUAUUUCUCAUGCAAUUGAAGUAUUUUAUGUUGAAGUGACUAUGAGUUACGUGGCUUAACAAAUGUUUUUAUUUUCUUUAUUUAGAGAGGUGCCACUACUGUUGUCUAGAGUUAGCUAAUGUCUGAAGUUCAGUUUAAUGAAGUAAAUGAAGCUGUAUGAGUUUGAGCCUGGUAACUGUAGCUGGGGGUAGUCUACAUACACCAUUGUUCAUCAACUGCUAAGGAGAACUGUUAAAGCAGAUGCUUGUUGCCAGACAAGGAAUAGGGAAAAGUUAUCAUUCCGUUUUGUUAUAUCUGUCCUAAAUCCUCAAGAAACAAUAUUAAUGCUGUUCUUUAUUAAGCUCAGUCGGGGAAUAAAAGAACCCACAAAAAUAAUUUUAUUUGUGUACGGUCUCAUCAUUCUUGACCAGGCCACACAUUUUGGUGUCAGAAGUGGGAUCCCCUGUUAGAUUUUGAGGUUUUAGUUUGGAUAAGGACAGUGAGCAUCUAGACAACAGUAGUGGUGACCAACAGUCCAGAUCUGGUACCAGAGGGUGUGACGUCGGCCGGGUGGUGUUCCUGGAGAGGCGGUCUGUAACCCGUGGCUGGUGGGCGAAGACGAGAGGUGUCUGCAGGCUGCCGGAGGAGGGGACUGCCCAACGUCACAUUCUGUGACAGUGCAGGACAGAGGACAUUGAACCGGUUGUGACUGUUAUUUUGCAGCAAUAAAGACAGAGUAAGAGACACUUCAGAAUGUCGGAUGAAGACGAGGGGGCAGCUGCUCCUAGGCCGGGAACCAGCCGGGAUGAAGAUAACCCAGCUGCUUCUUUACAUGCUGAUGGAGAUCUGUAAAUGAGUUUGUGUGCGUAUCUCCGCCACGCUGAGGGCAACACUGAACAGCGGGGUUAGCGUGAGUAAUGAUAAAGCACAUGUAUAAACAGAAUUAUCUCAUUUCAAUGUAUGCUGACUGAUUAAAUAAGCUAUGUCCAUUUGUAUGUUUUCUGCCUAAUUUAGAGGGGAGAUAUAUGCGUGUUGAAUUCCAGGUGUGUGUCUUGGAACACAGGCUGCACACUGGAGUGAAAGUGAGUUAAUUGUACUACUAAAUUGUUUCUGAAUUGUAAGAAUGUGUAAAUGGAGAGAAUAUUUUGUAUUGAAUGUAUUUUUAUAUUUCUCAUGCAAUUGAAGUAUUUUAUGUUGAAGUGACUAUGAGUUACGUGGCUUAACAAAUGUUUUUAUUUUCUUUAUUUAGAGAGGUGCCACUACUGUUGUCUAGAGUUAGCUAAUGUCUGAAGUUCAGUUUAAUGAAGUAAAUGAAGCUGUAUGAGUUUGAGCCUGGUAACUGUAGCUGGGGGUAGUCUACAUACACCAUUGUUCAUCAACUGCUAAGGAGAACUGUUAAAGCAGAUGCUUGUUGCCAGACAAGGAAUAGGGAAAAGUUAUCAUUCCGUUUUGUUAUAUCUGUCCUAAAUCCUCAAGAAACAAUAUUAAUGCUGUUCUUUAUUAAGCUCAGUCGGGGAAUAAAAGAACCCACAAAAAUAA